UCCAGUAGCCACCAAAGUUUCCU
rnacentral:siRNA from 1 species